rnacentral:rRNA from 1 species
GACGAACGCUGGCGGCGUGCUUAACACAUGCAAGUCGAACGGAAAGGCCCUGCUUUUGUGGGGUGCUCGAGUGGCGAACGGGUGAGUAACACGUGAGUAACCUGCCCUUGACUUUGGGAUAACUUCAGGAAACUGGGGCUAAUACCGGAUAGGAGCUCCUGCUGCAUGGUGGGGGUUGGAAAGUUUCGGCGGUUGGGGAUGGACUCGCGGCUUAUCAGCUUGUUGGUGGGGUAGUGGCUUACCAAGGCUUUGACGGGUAGCCGGCCUGAGAGGGUGACCGGCCACAUUGGGACUGCGAUACGGCGCAGACUCCUACGGGAGGCAGCAGUGGGGAAUAUUGCACAAUGGGCGGAAGCCUGAUGCAGCAACGCCGCGUGCGGGAUGACGGCCUUCGGGUUGUAAACCGCUUUCGCCUGUGACGAAGCGGGAGUGACGGUAAUGGGUAAAGAAGCACCGGCUAACUACGUG